rnacentral:rRNA from 1 species
CUACGGAGGGUGCAAGCGUUAUCCGGAAUCAUUGGGUUUAAAGGGUCCGCAGGCGGAUUAAUAAGUCAGUGGUGAAAUCCUCUCGCUCAACGAGAGAACUGCCAUUGAAACUGUUAGUCUUGAAUUCGGUCGAAGUAGGCGGAAUGUGUCAUGUAGCGGUGAAAUGCAUAGAUAUGACACAGAACACCGAUAGCGAAGGCAGCUUACUAGACCUGGAUUGACGCUCAUGGACGAAAGCGUGGGGAGCGAACAGGAUUAGAAACCCCAGUAGUCC